GACAGAGCAACCAUGGCUGACUCCUCAUAUAAGCAGCUGGAAGCUGAACUGAAUGACAGCAGUCACUUUCUUUAGAGGAAGAGGCAGAUAGCACAUUUGUUGAAAUACUUAGGUAUCCAGUAGAAUUCCAGGGGAGUUUAGACAGUGAAGUAAUGCUGAGAGAGACAGAGCUAUUCUCCAUUGGCCACUCACCAAAUUGACCAGUCCUUCUGCCAGGCCUGGUUAGGUCAUUAUAUUUCCUGUGCAGGAGCACUGGGUCACCACGUCCCUGCUGGCCUUGGUGGGGUCAGCAGCGGGGUCACGGGUGGGGGCUGUCCCAGGGUAGGUGAGAACCUAGGGAGGGUAGCGGGCAGGCUGGGCUGAGCUUUCUUCCUUCCAGCCCUCUUCCAUCAUACAGGACACUGUGGUGCUUUGCUGUGCCACUCAGGCUUUUUCAUUCAGAGUCAGAGCUCGGGAGCCAUUUGUCGCUCUGCUUCCAGAGGCAACUAUUUUCAGAAAUCAACCACUGCCUGCCCCGGGGCCAGUGUCAGGGGUCAGCAGAAGCUUGUUCUGGCCAACAGCCCUCUCCUCCAUCACAGUCAUCCCCACAUUCAGCGGGGAGGUGCUAGAAUUAUCUGUUCCUGUUUCCUUCAGAGUCUGCACAGAAUGCUUUGGAUUCCCGAGAUCUGGCUUCCUCUGUGUGUUGUCACUGACUCCAGCCCAGCUGCUCACAGCACGGCCUGGGAGACGUUUCCCUUUGCAUUCAACGACACAGGUCCCCGUUGAGCUGUGGACUUGA
rnacentral:lncRNA from 1 species